CCUACGGGGGGCAGCAGUCGAGAAUUUUUCACAAUGGGGGAAACCCUGAUGGAGCGACGCCGCGUGGAGGAUGAAGGUUUUCGGAUUGUAAACUCCUGUCAUUAGAGAACAAGGCACGCGGUUUAACUGGCCGCGUGUUGAUAGUAUCUGAAGAGGAAGAGACGGCUAACUCUGUGCCAGCAGCCGCGGUAAUACAGAGGUCUCAAGCGUUGUUCGGAUUCAUUGGGCGUAAAGGGUGCGUAGGUGGCGAGGUAAGUCGGAUGUGAAAUCUCCAAGCUCAACUUGGAAACUGCAUUCGAUACUGCUUUGCUCGAGGACUGUAGAGGGCAUUGGAAUUCACGGUGUAGCAGUGAAAUGCGUAGAUAUCGUGAGGAAGACCAGUGGCGAAGGCGAAUGCCUGGGCAGUUCCUGACACUGAGGCACGAAGGCCAGGGGAGCAAACGGGAUUAGAUACCCCAGUAGUC
rnacentral:rRNA from 1 species